rnacentral:rRNA from 1 species
UACAGAGGGUGCAAGCGUUAAUCGGAAUUACUGGGCGUAAAGCGUGCGUAGACGGUAGCGUAAGUCGGGUGUGAAAGCCCCGGGCUCAACCUGGGAAUUGCAUUCGAGACUGCUCUGCUAGGGUGCGGAAGAGGGAAGCGGAAUUUCCGGUGUAGCGGUGAAAUGCGUAGAUAUCGGAAGGAACACCAGUGGCGAAGGCGGCUCACUGGCCCGAUACUGACGCUGAGGCACGAAAGCGUGGGGAGCAAACAGG